rnacentral:rRNA from 1 species
UACGGGGGGGGGCAAGCGUUGUUCGGAAUUACUGGGCGUAAAGGGCUCGUAGGCGGCCAACUAAGUCAGACGUGAAAUCCCUCGGCUUAACCGGGGAACUGCGUCCGAUACUGGUUGGCUUGAGUUUGGGAGAGGGAUGCGGAAUUCCAGGUGUAGCGGUGAAAUGCGUAGAUAUCUGGAGGAACACCGGUGGCGAAGGCGGCAUCCUGGACCAAUACUGACGCUGAGGAGCGAAAGCCAGGGGAGCAAACGGG